GUAGCCUUGCGCACUCGAGGUUCUUCGGCGCAGUCGGCCGAAGCUAAGAAGGGAACGCGGUCCAAGCCGCGGCUGCCCCCGCAACUGUAAAGGGUCAUGGUUGAUGCACAGCCACUGCACGCGCUUCAAGGCGUUGGCGGGAAGGCGCGUCAAUCGUCGGUUAGCACCGGCACACCCUCAGCCAGGAGACCUGCCUCGUGACGAAUUCUCAC
rnacentral:ncRNA from 2 species